CCGCCCAGCUUCAUUUGCUCGCGAGAGUUUCUUCAUCUAGCCGAAUCACAAGGCUGCUGCAGGAAACGGAAGCAGAGAAGAGUCGCGAGACUUGGCUAGACCGCUUGCCUCCCCAGACCCCUCCCCUCCCUCCCGGCGCACCUUCUGGCCCAGUUUUCUCGGUUGCACGUGUAGUUGUUUUGGCUCAAUCUCACGUGGCCGCGGAAGUGCCGGCGCUACAAGUCCGCCCCCAAGAUGGCGGCACCCAAUGAAUGGGGUCGCGAUCCGCUUCUGCUUAGUCUCGAAGUAUAGCCUUUGCGGUGUCUGCGGGGCCAUGGAGUGGCCUGGGUUCAUGGCUUCGCUGGUGGCUGGUGGGGUAGCAGGUGUCUCUGUUGACUUGAUAUUAUACCCUCUGGAUACCAUUAAAACCAGGCUGCAGAGUCCACAAGGAUUUAAUAAGGCUGGUGGUUUUCGUGGAAUAUAUGCUGGCGUUCCCUCUGCUGCUAUUGGAUCUUUUCCUAAUGCUGCUGCUUUUUUUAUCACCUAUGAAUAUGUGAAAUGGUUUUUACAUACUGAUUCAUCUUCAUAUUUGAUGCCCGUGAAGCAUAUGUUGGCUGCCUCUGCUGGAGAAGUGGUUGCCUGUCUGAUUCGUGUUCCUUCGGAAGUGGUUAAGCAGAGGGCACAAGUGUCUUCCUCUUCAAGAACAUUUCAGAUUUUCUCUAACGUCUUAUAUCAAGAGGGCAUCCGAGGAUUGUAUCGAGGCUACACAAGCACAGUUUUAAGAGAGAUUCCUUUCUCAUUGGUCCAGUUUCCCUUGUGGGAGUCCUUAAAAAAUGCAGUUAAGUCCUUGGGAAAAUCGCUUAUGUCAUCAGCCCUCUGGUCCUGGAGGCAGGAUCACGUGGUGGAUUGUUGGCAGUCAGCAGUCUGUGGAGCUUUUGCAGGUGGAUUUGCAGCUGUGGUCACCACGCCUCUGGAUGUGGCAAAAACAAGGAUCAUGUUGGCAAAGGUUGGUUCCAGCACCGCUAGUGGGAAUGUGCUCUCUGCCCUGCACGGGGUCUGGCGGACACAGGGGCUGGCGGGAUUAUUUGCAGGUGUCUUCCCUCGAACGGCAGCCAUCAGUCUGGGAGGCUUCAUCUUUCUUGGUGCUUAUGACCGAACCCGCAGCUUGUUAUUGGAACUUGGCAGAGGGAGCCCCUGAAUUCAGGACGGCCCCACUUCUGCACUUCUGUCCAGAAAGGGGGCUGCUGUGCCACGGGUUCCCUUCCGGCGAGCAGCUGCUCGCCCAUCUGAACCGCCUGCACCGCGCCCCUGUGUGUGAGGAUAGGACCUUGAGGAUGUCUUGCCUGCUCCAGGCUGGCUGGAACGUCGACUGCCGCCUGUCUGCCAGAUCGCCAAGAGGACCGUGUCCACAGCGAGUUUACAGAGAAGGAUCCACCGGCCGGCGUGGUGUGUGUGAAAGCAAGCCGGUAGUUGCAGCUCCAGGGACGAGGUGGGCCCGGUGCGUCCGAGGAGGGUGCUGAGCCCCCCCCCCCGCCAGGGGCCUGGGCUGGCUGGGGAACAGAGCAGGGUUUCUUCGUUCCUAAUCGGGAAGGUUUAUUGUCUGCAGUUAGAAGGGGAGGUCACCAUUUCAGAGCUUGACUAAUAAGCUCCAGGUGUUAGAAACAUUCAGAGAGAAAUCUCAGGAAUCUAGUGGUGGUGUAUCCUCCCUGGGGCUAAAGUAUAGGAUUUUGCUUCGCGUAAAAAAAUUUCCCCCUUUCUGGGGGAAAAAAAAGAUAAUUAAAGGCAGAAUACGUGCAUUUGGUUUGUGAGUUUCUGGAAUGGAACAUACUGCUUACAGUGUCACUAGACAAAUGACCCCAGCCACCCAAUGAACGUUUAUAAAUGAACCUUUAUUAAAGACACUGCAACACCGUUUGUUAGACACUUCAAUAUUUUACAUGUUUUUCAAUGUACAUUGUACCAAAAUUUCUAUAAAUAAAUAACUUUGUACAUAAAAGUAA